rnacentral:rRNA from 1 species
UACGUAGGGGGCGAGCGUUGUCCGGAGUUACUGGGCGUAAAGGGCAUGCAGGCGGUCGGACGCGUUUCGGGUGACAGCGGGUGGCUUAACUACCCGAGUGGUCGAAAGACGGUUUGACUUGAGGACGCGAGAGGGACACGGAAUUCCGUGUGGAGUGGUGAAAUGCGUAGAGAUCCGGAGGAACACCGAAGGCGAAGGCAGUGUCCUGGCGCGUAACUGACGCUGAGGUGCGAAAGCCAGGGGAGCGAACGGG